GGAUUGUAGCUCAGUGGUAGAGCGCUCGCCUAGCAUGUGUGAAGCCCUGGGUUUGAUCCUCAGAGCCA
rnacentral:tRNA from 1 species